rnacentral:pre_miRNA from 1 species
AUUAACUGAAGAUCCUGCGAAAAUGCAGAUUCAAAUUUAGUAGGCCUGGGUGGAACCUGAGAUUCUGCAUUUCUAACAAAGUCUCCGGGGAUGC